GAACUGUACUAGAGUGGAGGCUGUGACUGGAAGAGAGGAUGGAUAUGAGAAACAUAGCAGGUCAAGGUGACUGUUAGGAGGAAGAGAGAGGGAGAGAAAAAAGAUCUUUGUUCUUUGAAAAAGCUCACUUAAAAAAAUGGAAAUGAUUUUAAAAAAUAAAUUUACUGGAAGACAUUUGUAAGAAUAGGAAGGACACAGCGUGAGAAGGCCAAGAAGUGAGCUAAAGAUUUCAAGAGAUAUUGCCUGUUCUUGUAGAAUCUGAUACUCCAGACUACCCCAACAGCAGCAAUCACCAGGGCAAACAUUAAGGACAUCCAGACUCCAGCAAUGGCCUCCACACUGCGCCCUGAAGGCUCCUGGUCCCCCAGAAAAGAAGGCUUCUAUAGGGCCCUUGACAAAGUGCCAGGGUUCAGAUGUGCCCUUUGAACUCACCCAAACCUGGCUUCCGUCUGAGUCCACCGGGGUGGUGGGUGUUUGGGUUGCUUUCAUUUAGCAUAGGAGGCUGGAGAAAGGGAGGGAAGGUAAAUAAGGGCCACCUGUUGGGCAAGUAGCCUAUUGGCUUCGAGGCAAUAGAGGAUUCGGUGCCCUUCACUGAGAUAGGCCUGGUGCUGGCUGUAGCCAGAGGGGCACUUCAUGGGGUAGUCCAUGGUGCUGUGCCAAUAAAAGAGCUCCUUCAGGAUCCCUGGGCUCUGCCCCUGCAGGAAGCCGGCCACAGGAUUGCCCAUCUGAAAGUUGAAGAAGCCUCUGAAGAGAAUGGCAGCCUUGGUAGCCAUCUCAGGGUCACUGCUGACACACGCUCUUGGAUCUUCAAGGACCAGCAGGGGUGGAAGUAGGUGGGGCACGAUUGGGUCUUUGUAAGUGGGUCCCCUUGCGUACUGAUGUACAGUCCCCCAAAGAGGAAGCCAGAGUUGGGGAAUACAGGUGACUUGGUGGGAGUGCACGAGGAGGUAGAUAAGCACAUCACAUUGGGGUAGUAGUGGGUGCUGCACAGGUUCUUGCAUCAUUUGAAGAGCAAUAGCAGCCGGUGCACUGCUGCCCACACCCCAUCUUAGACGUGUUGCUCACUUCAACAGGACUGCAGUGUAGUUCCAGGGGCAGGGGGUUCUGGGUACAGUAGAGUUUGCAGAAUGCCCCUGCGUCUGGCCCAGACACUGGCUGGCACUCCUGGAAUGACCCUCCCCCUGCCCAAAGUGAAGUUGUUCUAUGCCUCCAAGCACAAACAGUCUUCUGUCUUGGCCUGGAAGAUGACAUUGGAGGGUUUGGGCUGCAAGCAGCUCAGGCAGAUGUUGACUGAAUUGUACCGGCAGAUGGCAUCCUGCACCGAGAGAAAGGUGUUACAAGACCAAAGAGCAAACCUUGUCCCAACUAAAAACCAAUAAUGGGGUGGUGGAGGUAGUAAGGACAGGGAGGGAAAAUGGAGUGUUCCAACAGUGAUCAUGCCCAAUUCCUGAUCAAAUUCUAGGACACAACAUUAAAGCUUGUGAUUGCUUGGAAAAAGACAUCAGGGAUGGUUAAGAGCCAACUUGGCUUUGUCAAGAACAGAUCAUGUGAGACUAAACUUACUUUUUCUGGUGUUACUAGAUAAGCAGAUCAGGAGAAUGCUGGAGAAUGCCUUCCAUUUUUGUGGACAGAAUGACAAGAUCUGGGCUAGACUACAGUACAGUUAACUUGAUUUUUAAUUGAAAAGAAGAGAGCUCAUACAUCUUCCCAUGGUUCUCUGUUUUCUUCAUUGUCAUCAGUGAUGGCGUGCUUGUGCUCGGACCCCAGCCCUAGGACCAUAUCUCUCCUCAGCCCAAAGACUCUAUCUCUUGCAAUAUCUCACGAGUGGCCCCAGUGAGGCAAACUGUCUCUCCCUGUUACAAGACCAAGCUGACCUCUGUAGAAUUUCCCUCGGAUGAACAGGGCUGUCUUAUACCAGCAGGACUAUCAUGUACUAAUUCCCUCAAUUACCAUAUAUAAUCUAGAGGUCAAGCAAUAGACGUCAACUCUCGAGGAUAUCUUGCACAAACAAGACAGCCAUGCCAGUAGUGAAUGUCGCCUGUGCCCAAGGUACAGAAACUGUGUGUUCACCACCUAAUUAGCAUGGUUGGCAGACAAUGCACUGAACUUUUCCUAUAUAAGCUUUAGCAUCACCCCCAUUAGGUUGCAAAUUCCCCAAGGAACUCUGCCUGCCUUUAUUAGCAUUAUAAUAAACUUUUUGCCACUUGAUUGGAAGACUGCUUGAGUCUGAGAAUUCUUUCUAGACAACUCUGCCCUGAACCUCAGUAUUCUGGAGUUCCUGCAUCCCUAAACCACAUCAAUUAGUUAUUAUGAAUAUUCUAUUACAGUAGUGUAGCACAUUUUGUUUUGUCAUCUAAUUUUGAUUCUUUGCUGCUACAAAACCAAAAUUCUGCUACAAAUAUUUAGUUACAUAGGGUACCUUUCUGCAAUAGAUGACUAGCAGUAGAAUCUCUGGGUCAAUGAGUAGGGACAUUUUAAUAACUUUAGUGAUAUGAAAUUUAAUAGGAAUAAAUGUAUAUUCUUAUAUUGGCAUUAAACAAAUCAGCUUCUCAAGUUAUGAGGUCAGAAGAGGCAUCUGAAAAAAGUUCUGGGGGUUUCAAUGGAUUCCAAGAUCAUGAGCCAUAUGUGAUAUCACACCCAAGAAAUCUAAUAAUGGCCUGAGGCUUCUGAGUUGAGAGGUAGCAGAGUCCAGGAUUAGUAGAUAGGAGUGCCCCAUCUGUGAAGUCACAAAAACUUCAUAUGAAUGACAAAUUCUGCAACCUGUGGAACUCUGGACAAGUCAUUUUACUUCCCUGGGAGUCAAUUUCCAUAAAACUAUGGUAUUGGAUUAGAUAAUCUCUAAAUUCUAGGAUCCUAUAGUCCUCUUGUCCUUUGCCCUGGUCAGACCACAAAGAAUCAGAGAUGUAAAGCUGGAAGGGACCUUAGAGGUCACUGAGUGUAAG